rnacentral:rRNA from 1 species
GAUGAACGCUGGCGGCGUGCUUAACACAUGCAAGUCGAACGAAGCCGUUGUUUAGAGACCUUCGGGUGGAAGAAUGACAGACUGAGUGGCGGACGGGUGAGUAACGCGUGGGUAACCUACCUUGCACAGGGGGACAACAGUUGGAAACGACUGCUAACACCGCAUAAGACCACAGUACCGCAUGGUACAGGGGUAAAAACUGAGGUGGUGCAAGAUGGACCCGCGUCUGAUUAGCUAGUUGGUGGGGUAAAGGCCUACCAAGGCGACGAUCAGUAGCCGACCUGAGAGGGUGAUCGGCCACAUUGGGACUGAGACACGGCCCAAACUCCUACGGGAGGCAGCAGUGGGGAAUAUUGGACAAUGGGGGGAACCCUGAUCCAGCGACGCCGCGUGAGUGAAGAAGUAUUUCGGUAUGUAAAGCUCUAUCAGCAGGGAAGAAAAUGACGGUACCUGACUAAGAAGCCCCGGCUAACUGCGUGU